GCCGGGUGUGGUGGCGCACGCCUGUAAUCGCAGCUACUUGUGGGGCUGAGGCACGAGAAUCGCUUGAACCUGGGAGGCUGAGGCUGCAGUGAGCCGAUAUCAUGCCACUGCACUCCAGCCUGGGUGACAGAGAGAGACUGUGUUUCAA
ensembl:misc_RNA Metazoa_SRP Metazoan signal recognition particle RNA